GAUGAAGAACGUAGCGAAAUGCGAUAAGUAAUGCGAAUUGCAGAAUCCGUGAGUCAUCGAAUCUUUGAACGCACAUUGCGCUCCCUGGUAUUCCGGGGAGCAUGCCUGUUCGAGCGUCAUUACAACCCUCAAGCUCUGCUUGGUGUUGGGCCCCGCCGCCCCGGCGGGCCCUAAAGUCAGUGGCGGUGCCGUCCGGCUCCGAGCGUAGUAAUUUUUCUCGCUUUGGAGGCCCGGGCGCGUGCUUGCCAUCAACCCCCAAUUUUUUUCAGGUUGACCUCGGAUCAGGUAGGGAUACCCGCUGAACUUAAGCAUAUCAAUAAGCGGAGGA
rnacentral:misc_RNA from 1 species